rnacentral:rRNA from 1 species
GACGAAGGGGGCUAGCGUUGUCCGGAAUCACUGGGCGUAAAGGGCGCGUAGGCGGUCUGUUAAGCGUGUGGUGAAAGCUCGGGGCUCAACCCCGAGUCUGCCAUGCGAACUGGUGGACUUGAGCACUGUAGAGGCAGGUGGAAUUCCGGGUGUAGCGGUGGAAUGCGUAGAGAUCCGGAAGAACACCGGUGGCGAAGGCGGCCUGCUGGGCAGUUGCUGACGCUGAGGCGCGACAUCGUGGGGAGCAAACAGG